UGCGUGUGUGUGUGUGUGUGUGUGUGCAUGAGGGACAAAGACAGAGAGAGGUUACUUGAUGCUUUGUGUCAUGGUGUCAGGUGGCAUCAGCCUGUAGAUGGGAAGAUAAAAAUGAAAGACAAUCGAUAUCCGAGCACUGAAAUUGUUCUCAUCUGCUGCCGCCCUCUUGCACUACAUGUGUCCACGCACAUCUGCUGCUCUACCAUGUGGAAAACGGUUUGACUCGUAAACGAGAUGUUAUUCACAAAGUGAUGCCGUUGUACUGCUUUAAUGUCUGAUGCUGAAGUCAAAACGCAUGAAAAAGGAAAUGAUGUUGUGAAUGUGAAUUUUAAGCACAAACCAGUUACAGUUUGUUUCUCUCAAUGCGAUUGUAUUUUCCCUGUUAUAUCACAAAUGCUGCACAAGAAGCACAAUGAAUUAAUAAAUAACCACUUGGUUGUGUUUUCUAGGAGAAAAACAUUGGCCGGUCCGCUCCCAGAGUCACCAUGGUCCCCAUCAGCACAACUAUAACCAUGUGGCUCUAGGUAGCCCCACACGCACACCUAAGAAUGGUAAGACAAACCAGUGGGAGGAGGGAAUGUUCGAACCAAUCCACAGCUCAGUUCAGUGUUUGAGAGGAAGCCUGGACCCUGGGCGGUAACUUGAGGAUAGUGCUCGACGUGGAUGUGUGAAGAAAACCCUCGGCGUCGUCCUCUUUUCAAGUGGCACGGCUGCGACGCUGUUCUGUUAUUGAAAAUACAGGCGUUCCUUUUUAUUUGCAGAGGAGUAACACCCCAUAGUCACUUUUCUUCCAAAGAGAAUGCAAUUGGCCGAAGGUCAACUUAACACCGUGUUGAGGUCAUGGUCGGCGGAGCAUGUGUAACCUGUAAUGACCCCUGCUGUUUAGCUCUCGAACCAGAGUUAUCACCCCGACUUCAAACCCCUUGCGAGGAGCAUCACAUGAAUCCGUAUUUUCUUACUGACGUCAUACAGCGGUUUGCUCAGAAUAAUUCUCACGAGGGAGCUGAGUAGUGGUUAUAUGAGCCUUUCACAGACAUAUCAGCAUUUGCGUUCAUGUGUGCGGAUAAUGCGCCACUAUGACAACUUUUAUUUCACAGACUGAACAAAGCAAAAUGUGCAUUUUAAUAUAAUGAUAUUUAUUAUGUUUUUUUUUUAUUAUUUUCACUUAUUUGAAAGAAAGUUGAUGGUUAAAUUCUCAAAUAUCAAGCCUCAAUUACAAUGCUUUGUCAUAAGGGUUUGAUAACAACAUAGGAAUCCUUUUUUUUUUUAUAUGUCAAUAUAUUGAUAUGAGAAAUGUUUUACUCCCUAAUGUCCAUAUUGGUCAGGCUCUAUAAGUGGUUACAUUAGUCCUCUAGGUGGAUGCUGGAGAGAGGAAAGACAGAUGAAAGGGAGGAGGCGACAAGUUGAAUAUUCGCUGUGCUUCUUAAAUCAAUCCGAUCUUGGAAUUUGAUUCGUAGUCUGUUUGUUUGAACCCUAAACCACAUCUUUGGAGAAAAGCAGUGGAGAACCAUGGAAAUCAGGAAAAAUCCAUUUUUAACAACACAUACAACACAGAUACUUUGAUCGUAGGCUUCAAAUUUCAGAACGCUGCAUAUAUAUAUAUAUAUAUAUAUAUAUAUAUAUCUACUUGCAUAAUUGUACACAAGUCUGCACAUCAUAUGUCUCUGGAAGUAAAAGCUGGGGUUUUUCAUACUGAGCGAUGCUGAAUAUGGAGUAGGUUUGUGUAGUUCUUGUUUUUCUCAGCAUCAACAUGUUUCUGAAAUAUUUGUUUUUUCACUUGGGUUUGGUAGCUCACCGAUCACUGAGACGUGGUAAGUCAUACAGUACAUAUGUUUAAUUUAGUGUA
rnacentral:lncRNA from 1 species